UACGUAGGGUGCAAGCGUUGUCCGGAAUUAUUGGGCGUAAAGAGCUCGUAGGCGGCCUGUCGCGUCGGCUGUGAAAACCCGGGGCUCAACCCCGGGCCUGCAGUCGAUACGGGCAGGCUAGAGUUCGGCAGGGGAGACUGGAAUUCCUGGUGUAGCGGUGAAAUGCGCAGAUAUCAGGAGGAACACCGGUGGCGAAGGCGGGUCUCUGGGCCGAGACUGACACUGAGGAGCGAAAGCGUGGGGAGCGAACAGG
rnacentral:rRNA from 1 species